UUGGCCUGCCAGGGCUGGGUCCUUGCAGAGUACCCUAGGUCCUACAGCCAGCCUGAGUCUGAAGAGAAUAGCAGAGGCCCUACAGAGGGGCUGCUGCAGGCAGUCACUCGAAGAAGAACAUUCCCGGUGUCCGGUGGCCAGCUGUGCCAGAGCCCAGCAGACAAAGAUGAACUCCCAGAGUGCGGUGGGGUGCUCUGGCCAGGAUUCUGUGGGUGAAGGCAGUCUCCAGUAGAGGAGCAAUCUUGCUCCACCACCCCGAUUCUCCUAGCCCACCCGGACAUGGCCUCCUUUUUGUUUCAUCUUUCUGAGACUAUCCUGCUAUGUUACACGGUGGUCUCUGAUUCCUGGACUCCAGCACCCCGCAGCCUCAGCACCAGCUACCUGGUGGGACCACUAAGGGCCCAGCUGUCAGGCUUUUCUCUGGACCUGGACGGUGGAAGCUGGACAGGGAAAGUGCUUCUCAAACCCAUUCCUGUCUCAAUUGGGAGGCAAUGAGUGGCUUCAAAGGCGUACAGGUGACCUCCAUGCUGGACCCUAGAGAAGCCCAGGGACCAGAAUGCUGGCCAGUCCCCACUCUCACUCCCAUGCAGACACUUCACAGGCUGCGCCUGUCCCUUCACCUUUUGGAAUUGCCAAAAUGAGUGACUGUUCACCCUCGUGCUGGCCUGGCUGAAUCCUUCCCAGUUGGGUCUCAGGACCUUUGAUUGCUGCUGUUAAUUACCUGUCAUUAAAUACCUGGCUCUGUGGCCCCACCAGGAA